rnacentral:rRNA from 1 species
CCCUGCCAUUUGUACACACCGCCCGUCGCACCUACCGAUUGAAUGACUCGGUGAAAAAUUGGGACUGUGGAUCAAUUUGCUUCAUUGCGAAUCGAUCCGUGGGAACUUUUUUUAACCUCGCCAUUUAGAGGAAGGUGAAGUCGUAACAAGGUUU